rnacentral:miRNA from 1 species
UUCAGUCCUUUCCCAGGACUUUCAUCAGGAGCAGAACUUUCAUAAGGGUAUUGAUCCUGAUGAAAGUCCUGGGAAAGGACUGAAA